GACGAACGCUGGCGGCGUGCUUAACACAUGCAAGUCGAACGGAAAGGCCCUGCUUUUGUGGGGUGCUCGAGUGGCGAACGGGUGAGUAACACGUGAGUAACCUGCCCUUGACUUUGGGAUAACUUCAGGAAACUGGGGCUAAUACCGGAUAGGAGCUCCUGCUGCAUGGUGGGGGUUGGAAAGUUUCGGCGGUUGGGGAUGGACUCGCGGCUUAUCAGCUUGUUGGUGGGGUAGUGGCUUACCAAGGCUUUGACGGGUAGCCGGCCUGAGAGGGUGACCGGCGACAUUGGGACUGAGAGACGGCGCAGACUCCUACGGGAGACAGCAGUGGGGAAUAUUGCACAAUGGGCGGAAGCCUGAUGCAGCAACGCCGCGUGCGGGAUGACGGCCUUCGGGUUGUAAACCGCUUUCGCCUGUGACGAAGCGUGAGUGACGGUAAUGUGUAAAGAAGCACCGGCUAACUACGUG
rnacentral:rRNA from 1 species